GUUUUGGAAGCAAACUCUAAAUGGUGGUACUGUCAAAUGUUCAGCCUUUCUGCAGUGCCAGGUGACAGGUUUAUAUUUAAGCUAUCUAUCCACCUGCAAGACAACCAAGAACAGCAGCCUAAAAACCAGCCUAGAAUCAAUCCUACUUCUAGCAUUACUUGCAAAGACAGCUAUUUUGUGAAAUUCUGGACCCACAGCUUGAAUACUCCAAUGCAUGAAGAUCAGCAUCUUUGGGAAUUCCUGUUUCUGGCCACUGUGGGACAGAAAGUGAAGCAUGCAUGUUUCAUGCUUGCAUGUUUAACCCACAAUAAGAUUUCUACAAAUGUAUGCAUCGUAUAAUAGCCACAUAUCCAUCCAGAUUCUGUCCCUUAUUACAAGGCUGGAGCUUCCUGAAGCUUGGUUGAAGCCAUCCCUCAACUCCAACUAAAUAAACAGCUAAUUAUAGCCAUAUAAUGAUGAGUGACAGACUUGCAAAGGAAGACUAUUGAAAAAAAAAUAAAAUUAGUGGAUAAAUAAAC
rnacentral:lncRNA from 12 species